CCUCCAUCACGAGAUUGCAAAUACCUGUCCUGAUUCUAUUGGGCAGGGGAGGGUGAUAAGGAAAAGUAUCACACGGUGCAAUGGUUUAAGAUCUGCAAGCCCAAGGACCAGGGAGGUCUUGGGGUAAUUUCAUCCAAACGGAUGAAUAUUGCACUUCUUUCCAAGUGGCUAUGGCGCAUUGAAACGGGUGAGGAUGGACUUUGGCUGACUAUUAUCUGCGCAAAAUAUUUGCGUGGUGUAAGUGCAUCUAGUGCCCCUUAG
rnacentral:rRNA from 1 species